GCUAUGCCGGAUCCUCGCUGAGCAAGGCCAGGGAUCGAACCCGUGUCCUCAUGCGUACUAGUUGGGUUUGUUACCACUGAGUCACAAUGGCAACUCCCCUCCCAGCUCUAAAAUUUUAUAAUCUAAAGUAGUUUCCUUAGUGCUAAUAUUGGUAAUGAUGAGAAAGUAAUGAAAAGUCUUAUUGACUUAGUUUGUUAAUAACUGUGGGAAAGAAAAAAAAAUGAAGUGUUUGCCAAGAGAGUACAGCUUUAAAGGUAGCUUUAAAAAAAGUGUGUGAAGGAGUUCCCUUCAUGGCUCAGCAGUUAACGAAUCCGACUAGGAUCCAUGAGGGAGCGGGUUCGAUCCCUGCGCCACGACGGGAACUCCUCAAGGCUUUUUAGUUCAUAAUUUUAUCCCACAUAAUAAAAGGUAAAGGCCUCUGUAGUGUAGAAGAACGCGGGGUUUUGUGUAUUAAAACUAGGUUUAGUCCUCAGCUCUGCCAGCUCUUGCUGUGUGCAGUGGAAAAUUUAACAUUGAGAUUUAAUUUUCUCAUCUACCCUUGGGGACAGUGUCUCACUUUCAGAAUUGUGUACACUGGAAGUACAUUCUCCUAAAUUUAAUACUUGGUACAAAGCACAGAGAUGGCAUAAAAGUAGUGCUAAUUAUUUUUAUUAGCAACUAUUCUGAUAUUGCUUAAGUUUGGAGGUUUUCCAUUUAUGUGUGUGUAGCGAGGUAAGUUCGGAGAUAAUAUCAGCAAAUCCAUCUGUGUCUUAAAGUUUUACAAAUACAGAAUAGGAAUUAACUACUUCUGUGUGGGUUUUCCCACACCACAACCAGUUGUCCAAUUCUGUGACACUGAGUAUCCAGCAAUUAAAUUCAGUUCAGACAUUAUCUACCUGAUGUUAGCGUCAGAUCCUUAAGUUAAAAGGCUCAGUUCCAUAAGACUGUCCCCAAUGUUGACAUCAGUUGUAACACUGCUCUAUAUUAUAUACGAAUGUUGUUAAGAGAGUAAAUCCUGAGUUCUCGUCACAAGAGAAAAAUUAUUUUCUUCUAGUUCUUUAAUUUUGUACCUAUGUGAGAUGAUGAAUUUUCACUAAACUUAUUGUGAUAAUCACUUCAUGAUUAUGCAAGUCAUUAUGCAUAUUAUGCCUUAGUCCAAUCCAUGAACAUGGUAUAUCUUUCCAUCUGUUUGUGUUGUUUUCAGUUUCUUUCAUCAGCGUUUUAUUAUUUUCUGAAUAUAGGUCUUCUGCCUCUUUAUUCCUAGGUAUUUUAUUCAUUUUGAUGUGAUUGUAAAUGGAAUUGUCUCCUUAAUUUCUUCCCUCCCCUCCCCUUUUCUUCUUUCCCACACUCAGGCUAGGGGUCGAAUUGGAGUUACAGCUGCUGGCCUACACCACAGCCACAGCAAUGCAGUAUCUGAAUCACAGUGCGACCUACACUGCAGCUUGUAGCAACGCCGGACCUUUAACCCACUGAGCAAGACCAGGGGUUGAACCUGCAUCGUCACGAAUACUAGUCUGAUUCUUAAUCUGCUGAUCCAUGAUGGGAAUGCCCCAGAUUACUCUUAGGUUGUACGUUUUCUGCAUUUAUAAGCCUACCCUAACCCACGUGUUUAACCUUUGAGCUUAGAGUAAGGUCAUUUUAAGAUAUGAAGGAUGGAUUUUGAGAGGUAGAGUUGAAACAAAGGAAAUGGGAGGAUUCUUAAAAAUUAAAGCAGAAGAGUUUAAAGAAGUUGAAACAAUUUGAAAUUCCAUCUCACAGGGAUGAUUACCAUUAAAGUUUUGUUUGUUUGUUUGUUUGUUUGUUUGUUUGUUUGUCUUUUUGGGGCUGCAUGCACAGCACAUCAAAGUUCCCAGGCUAGGGGUUAAAUUGGAGCUGUAGCUCCCCACCUACACCACAGUCACAGCAAUACGGGAUCCAAGCCACGGCUUUGAUCUAUACCACAGCUUAUGGUAAUGCUGGAUCCCCAAUGCACUGAACAAGGCCAGGGAUCAAACCCACAUCCUCAUGGAUACUUGUCGAGUUUGUUACCAUUGAGCCAACUAAUGGUAGGGAACUCCUACCAUUAAAGAUUUUGUAAAUAUCCUUCCAUGUGUCUCUUUGAAAGUAUGUACACAUAUAGAUGUAUGAAUAUGAAGUAAUUCUACACAUAUAGACUAAUAUUGUAAUGCUGUUUUCCUUUUGCCUUAGACAUAGGUUUUGGAGAUUUUUGUGUCAGUAAGAGACUAGUAUUCAAGAUGGUAUAUUUCAAGAAUGAUGAGCAGCCUGCCUACUUGAGAGAGUAAGAAGCUGGUCUGACUCUCUUGAUUUUCCAGAUUAGAGUAGAUGUUGCUCCUCUGGGCUUCCAUAGCACCCUGGGUGUCCCAUCAUGGCCCAUGCUGCAAUUCUGUUGUUUGUCUACCUAAACCAAAGACUCCCUUAUCUGUCCUGUUGUAUUCCUUGGGCUUAAUGUGGUGCCUGAUACCCAGUAGACGUUUCAGUGUUUGAUGAAUGAAUGAGUGAAUGAAUGUCUCAGGUGAAGUAAGACAGUUUGCCAUGAAAGGAACUUGCUGCAUAUAUUCUUUAAAGCCUUUUAUCUCUUUUUGCCUUGAUUAUUCAUUUACUAAGAAACCUUUUGGGAGUUCCCGUCGUGGCGCAGUGGUUAACGAAUCCGACUAGGAACCAUGAGGUUGCGGGUUCGGUCCCUGCCCUUGCUCAGUGGGUUAACGAUCCGGCGUUGCCGUGAGCUGUGGUGUAGGUUGCAGACGCGGCUCGGAUCCCGCGUUGCUGUGGCUCUGGUGUAGGCCGGUGGCUACAGCUCCGAUUCGACCCUUAGCCUGGGAACCUCCAUAUGCCGCGGGAGCGGCCCAAGAAAUAGCUAAAAAUGCAAAAAAAAAAAAAAAAAAAAAGAACCAGAGAAAACCUAUGUUCCAACUCAAGUUCAAAGACAGUAGACUGUAGAAAAAAUAAGACUUACUAAAUGCUACAAAUAAAAAAAAUUAAAAAAAAAAAGAAACCUUUUGGUAUUAAUUCAGUUUACCAAGGGGAUUUUACUGCUAGAAAAAAAAAAAAAGGUACUGACUGUUACCUCGUUGAUAGUUAUAAUUCUGAUUAUACAUGGGGAGAAGCCGGCUGGAUGGCGAGUACAGGCAUGGGACCAAAAGCAGUUUUGUACUCCAGAGGUUUUGUUGUAGUUGGAAGAUUCUUCAGUCACUAUGUCAACUGACACAGAAGUUUCUCUUUCUUCAUAUGAUAGAGAUUGGGGUCUAAACUUAUCUGAAAAGCUAGAGACGCACCAUUUGUCCCCAUUGGAAUGGCAGGUUUUGCUGCAGUCAUUGCAUGUGGAUUAUAUAAAUUGAAGAGCAGGGGAAAUACUGAAAUGUCUGUUCAUCUGAUCCACAUGCAUGUGGCAGGCAGCUCAAGGCUUUGUUGUGGGAGCAAUGACUCUUAGUAUGGGCUAUUCCUUGUAUUGGAAAUUCUGGGCAAAACCUGAACCUCUGAAGAAGAGAUGCUGUUUUGGUCUUGUUGGUGGUGCUCACUUUAGUUAGACAUCUCAUAUUGAGGUUAUAUGUUUAUGUUGAAAAUAAAUUGUUUAAGUGCGUCAGACAUUAACAUGGUAAUUUGAAUACUGGCUUCCUUUCUUGGCCUGAUUUGCCUGGUGACCAAGUUACUGGUGACCAGUUUAGUAGCUGGGUUAUUCAGGGGAGUCACAUUAGCACAAAAGAAACAUGUUACCUUUAAAUGCAUUUGGUAGUGGUAAAAUGUCCACCUUCCUAAACUUUUCUGUUGAAAUUAGUUCUAAAGAAAACAGUAUGCCAAUCCUGAAAUACUCCCAGUUGCUGCAGAAUAUUACAUGCUUUUGAUGUAGUGUAGAAAUCCUAUUUAUCCCAGUUAAUUUAACUCUUUUCUGACUGCCCUGUGGACUGAGUGUUCAGUUUUAAGGGCUGGUGCGCUCUUGAGGAACCCUUUCAGAACAGUGCACGGAAUAUAACAUUAUAAGCCUUCCACACAAUUGAUAGUAUGUUUUUAAACCAAGCAUAAAAAGCUGGUAACAGAACAUCUUAGAAGUAUUAUUUAUUUCGGAGUCAUACUUGUAAACAUAAUAAUUUAAUUACAGAUCCCCAUUUAGCUCUUUUGUAAUUGUAGUUAUAUUUUGCUGCUGUUAUGUUAGAAUAAUAUUUAACUGUCAUCUUGAAAUAGAAGUAUUUUAAGUGCUAAUGCAAAUGUAAAUGAAAAAUACUUUUAAAACAUGUCCAGUAAGUUUAUUUUCUCUGUAAGAAUCAUAAAUGUUAAAGUAAAUAAAUUUCCUAUAAUGGAAGUGAUUGAUUUAUGAGCAGGCUGGUUUGGUCAGACAUUAUACACAAACUUUGGUAUACUACAGAAUGCCUUGUUGCAUUUGUGAAAUUCUUUUGUCUAACCUGAAUUUACAUUCCAUGGUGAGAAUAUGGUAAAUAUAGUGUUAAUUAAGUGAAUACAUGAAAAAAAUUCUGAUUAUAAACUGAUUAAAAUAUUAAUGUUCUGAGAACAGAUGGGUAUGAGACUGUGGAUAAUAUGAGCCACUUUGUUUCCCCCCAGAGUAUAAUUAUCACUUUAGAUAAGGUGGUAGCCAGCUUCUUUGAGCAGAGUUUUAGGUGUAUAAAAUGGAAGGCUGGAUUCAGCUAUGACUCUGCCACUUACCAGCUCUGAGAUAUUAGGCAAGCCCCUUAAUCAUUUUAGGAUUUUAGUUUCUUUAUUCAUUAAUAAUUGGCUGUUCAGAUCUAGUCCAUCUCUAAAAUAUUGUGACAAUGAAAAAAGAGCCAUACUUUAUUUAGUCCAUUGAGACCUAACCUAUAUACUCCUCACUAUCUCAUUUAAGACAUGUCUGUGACCAGAAGUAAAGACCAGCGAGUAUAGUCCCUUAGACCCUUAGGAAAACUGCAGGAUGAAGCAGAAGGUAGAUCUGCGAUCGUUUUUAGGAGUGUGAACCUGAGGACUUCUUUUGCAUUCUUUGCAUUAUUUCACAACCAGUCUCAAGAUUCAGUCUCAUUGUCUGUGAGGCACAAAGUUUGGAUCAGUGAUAGAACAGUUGGGAGACCUGUUUUUCUUCUUCAUUUUGGGAUAACAAAACAAAUUGCUGAACUUUUCCAUGCUUGAUACUUUUUACUAAAAGAAGACAAAGUCUAACUCUUCUUAGAUCAUGUGAUUUGGGAUAAUGAGGUAAAUCUUUUUUUUUUUUUUUUUUUUUCUUUUUUAGGGCUAUACCUUCGGCACAUGGAGGUUCCCAGGCUAGGGGUCUAAUUGGAGCUACAGCUGCCGGCCUUCUUGGUGUGCUAUUGUGUAACCCUGUGAACAGGACCUAACCUUAUUUUUCACCUCUAAUAUUUAUUCAACACUUCUUUGUCUGAGGCACUGUUAAUUUUUCUAAAGUGUUGCAGUGUUGCUUUAGCCUACCUUAACUUUAGAUGUUUAUUAUGUGAUUUUGUUUACUGAUUUAUAUGUCUGUGUCUUUUAUUUUAGAAGUUUUAGAUUUAUGGAAAAGUUAAGCAAAGAUAAUGCAUAGAUUAUAUCAUGGAUCUAAUUUCCCCAUUGUUAACAUCUUGUUUUAUUAAUUUUAUGCAGCUGCAUUUCACGUACUUUUAUUUAUUUUUUAUUUAUUUUUUUGUCUUUUUGCCAUUUCUUGGGCCGUUCCCGCGGCAUAUGGAGGUUUCCGGG